rnacentral:lncRNA from 10 species
GGCAUUUAGUUAGAAGUAAGCCUCAAUAAUAACAACUAAAAUCUCAUUAGGAAUUCAUCUGCGUCAGGGUGAGAGUGAGAGAACCUGUGCAUAUAAUCUCAUAUAAUCCUUCCAGGAGUGCGGUUCUAUUAUCAUCUUAUUUUUACAGUUGAGGACACUGAGGCACAGCGAAGUUCAGUGACGAGUUCCAAGUCCUUUUGCUGAUGGGAAAACCAAGGCUCAGAGAGAAGAAACCUGAUUUAGACACACAUCUUGUAAGUGGCAGAUCCAGGUUUCAGGAUUCUGAGUGGCACCCAGACAGAUCAACCCAUAACCUCAGUCUCCAGGACAAGCAUCAAGUGCCUUGACCACUGCACCUCUCAACCAUCCUGCACCCCAGAAAAGUGCACAAGGUACAAGAAAUCCUUCAGGUCAAGGACAAAGGCCCAGUGAAGUGACUCUCAUUUUUCUGGAACCUUCUUCUGUUGCCAGUCACCUGCUGCUGGGGCCCUUUUAGCAAGUGGUAGAUAAAGAAAAAUCCCUAAAAAUAAAGUAUAAUUUAAAAAAACCUUUU